CAUGGCGGCCGCGGGAAUUCGAUUGGAAACAGGUGCUAAUACCGGAUAACAACACUAGACACAUGUCUAGAGUUUAAAAGAUGGUUCUGCUAUCACUCUUGGAUGGACCUGCGGUGCAUUAGCUAGUUGGUAAGGUAACGGCUUACCAAGGCAAUGAUGCAUAGCCGAGUUGAGAGACUGAUCGGCCACAUUGGGACUGAGACACGGCCCAAACUCCUACGGGAGGCAGCAGUAGGGAAUCUUCCACAAUGGACGCAAGUCUGAUGGAGCAACGCCGCGUGAGUGAAGAAGGGUUUCGGCUCGUAAAGCUCUGUUGGUAGUGAAGAAAGAUAGAGGUAGUAACUGGCCUCUAUUUGACGGUAAUUACUUAGAAAGUCACGGCUAACUACGUGCCAGCAGCCGCGGUAAUACGAUAAUCACUAGUGAAUUCGCGGCCGCCUGCAGGUCGACCAUAUG
rnacentral:rRNA from 1 species